AGCAAAAGAAUCAGUUUUUUUUAAAUGGAUUUUACUGUCCACUCGAGAGAAGGACGCUUUGGGUUGGUCGCGUAAUAUUCAGAUAAUAUCGUUGUUUGAAGUAGUCAGGCACGAGACGAGGUAUAUAAAAUAUAGCUGAGCUCUCUUCAAACCCUCGAAGCAUUCUGGCUUGCUAGUUGCCACAACCCUGACGUGCUUAUUUGCUUCGUAGCUAGUCAAUAGAUACGCCCAUCCCGUGACACGGUGCGGAACCACUCUGUCUACCUGCCCCAGGUCCCAAAUUGCACGGGCAUCCCUCCGAAAUCGUACACCAGCUGCUCAUGGAACAUUCAUAUUAGUCUUAGCUUGAAGUUAGUCAGUCAACCACAAGGUUAGGUAGGCACAAAACUGAAUAAUCUGCGGACCUCGAUUAUCCUAUCCUGGCUUGCCUGCAACCUUUGACGUGAUUCUGCGCUUGGUGUUUAGUCAACAGACGCGCCCAUCCCGUGACACGAUCCAGGACACUCUGAGCCUGCUACUCGUACCCGCUCAAGAUUCCAAAUUUGCACGGGGACCCGUCGUGACACGGCGGGUGAUCCUUCGCCAUCCAUCAUCGCCCGAACCCAACGACCACCACGUUCGUUCUCUGGCAUGCCAUCAGCGUCGACCGGAAUGCAUCUUCGGGUUCCGCGACGUGCACUGCGGGUCCUGCCCGUCGCUCACGAGCGUCAGGUCGCUUGAAGAGCCGGCUGUCUAUCUGGGUGAUUAGAUUAGCAUUACCUCUGCUCCCAUCUCCGGCCCUGCCCAUCGAUCUCCUCCGUCUCUUCCCUUGGCGUCUCCCCUAUCAUACCUGCAAAUUGCUGCCAUAUACAGUACGUACUACUACAAUAUACACUCCCACUCUCCUCGUCCUCAUAAUCGCAAUAGUUUAUCAUACGACAAUUAUUAAACUGCAGCUAAGCAGAGCAGAGAGAGCGGUGCGGCCAUGCUAGCUUUUGGAGCCGCGAAGUGUCGCUCGCUCCGUGGUUUGGUUCGGUUCGUUUGCUGCUCCCAUGGCCAUGGGAGGGCGGUCACGAUUCGUGCGGCGCAAUGCAGGGGAGCAGUGCGGGGUUGGACUUUGGACCAACAAGGGACCUUUUCCGGCAGCUAAAGGAUGGCGGCCCUCGGCUCGCCGGUUGGGUCGCAUCCAUCCAUCCGCUGCCUACUUUUGACCGGGCGACCGAGUCGCGUUGGAGCUGGACACGCGACGCCGCCGGGCAUCGUCGACGGACCGAUGCUCGCCGGCAAAGUGGGCAGGCAGCGGGCUGACCAGGCAAAGAAAGAAAGAACGGAAGGAAGAAAUGUGCUCUUGGCCAUUUGAAGAUCAUUGUGAUCAAAACUCAAAAGCGACGCUGGUAGUGGUACAACAACAAAGUAGGGAUAGUUGGUGAGGGCGCUGUACUUGGACGGAAACGGAAGAGGGGCAUGAGCAUGAUCGAUGUUGGAGAAAGAACGGUCGUGGGCACGUUGUCGUGGCGGCCUGCAUACCACUGUGGUGCUGUGCCAUAAGACGAUUGGGGCUAGCGACCUACUUGUGGGUCGUGACAAGCAUGGACGAACGGUCAGGAAUGAGGGGCGGGGCUCACAAGUCUACUACGCUUGUAGGCGCGGCACCAUUUUUUAUGGGGGGGCCAAAAGCGCGUGCACUGUGCAGGAUCCGGAACGUGCAAAGCUCAUCGCAAUCUCCGGUUGAUUGAUUGCUUGAUUCGCUGUGCUACGGGACGAGCAAUGUUUUCCGGGACGCCACCCAACCAGCCACCCCCACCUCUUAUCAGUUGCUGAACGCUCUCUUUCCCUAUCACCCCGCCUCCUUGAAAACCAAACCUAUUGCCAUCCAACCGUCAUUUUCUUAUCCUUUGA
rnacentral:lncRNA from 1 species